AUUGAACGCUGGCGGCAGGCUUAACACAUGCAAGUCGAGCGAGCCGCGGACGGAUGAGUAAUGUCUCGGAAACUGCCUGAUGGAGGGGGAUCACUACUGGCAACGGUAGCUAAUACCGCCUACCAGCAGCUGUGCCCAGAUGGGAUUAGCUAGUGGGUGGGGUAAUGGCUCACCUAGGCGACGAUCCCUAGCUGGUCUGAGAGGAUUACCAGCCACACUGGAACUGAGAAACGGUCCAGACUCCUACGGUAGGCAGCAGUGGGGAAUAUUGCACAAUGGGCGCAAGCCUGAUGCAGCCAAGCCGCGUGUGUGAAGAAGGCCUUCGGGUUGUAAAGCACUUUCAGCGAGGAGGCGUUACUCGCAGAAUAAGCACCGGCUAACUCCGUGCCAGCAGCCGCGGUAAUAC
rnacentral:rRNA from 1 species